rnacentral:lncRNA from 1 species
AUGAGAUGCCUGUUAAACAACCUAGUCAGGUGUUUGAUGCUGGCCCUGGGUGGCAGGAGGGAGCAUUUGGGGCUGGCUGGAGGGAGGAGAGGCCAGAAGGCUGGAAGGUGGGAUGAAAUGCCUGCCUUGAAUGGAUGGGGACGGAAACUGAUUUGGGGAACCCAGGAAAGCCCUCACCUUGCUCCAGAAAAAUCACUGGUGCACACAUGCAACAUCCCCCACACAAUUUCAUGGGGUUCACGGGCCCUCAGGAGCCAUCCCUGGACCAUUCUGGAGUUACCAUCACACCUCCCCUCACCCACCGGCAACAACCAGAUGUCAUCACAUCCCGUAGGGUCCCACCAGCCUUCUGAUAAGGUCUCCAUCGGUCAUACCACGCUCUCUGUCUGCAUGAGGAAGGAACUGUGUCGUCAGAAAAGUGAACUCUCUGGAAGAUGGUCCAAGUACCACCUCCUGCAGGAGCUCGUCGUGAUUUCACAGACCACGGAUCUUGUCCUCACACCCACAUCACUCUGCCUUCCUCUAGUCUCACAUGGACCCUGCUUCACCAAAGAUGUCUCUUCGAGAAUCUUAAACUGAUUGUUGCCCGGUUGGUUGACUGGUUACAGAUCCCCGCCUUAUUGUUACCUGGCAGCAGGUAAGUGAUGCCAGAACGUCUAGGGCCAGGGCCAGAGAGGGGAAGGUCCCAUGAAGGCUGGUUCACAGCGGGUAGGGCUGCCUCAGAAGGAAAGUUCUUGAGCAAGGCCAGGCCAGAAAGACCCUAGAGCUAGGGAGUCAUGAGCAAUGCUGAGCUGGUCAGUGGUCAAAUCUGGGAAACUCAGGUGGGGCCGAGGCAAAGGGAAGGUCAAAGGGUGGGGUCCCACCCUGAGCAGAAGGAGGGCAUGGCAGAAGUUCAGCUUAGUCACAAACCCUGUGUGUGGCAGAGACCUUCCCUCUGGGCCAAGAUGGGUCUCAAAGUGACAGGCUCCUAAUGGCCGGGCAAGGAGACCACACAGCCCCCAUGCAGGCUAAGGGAUGUCCAUCCCACCUCCACUCAGCAAGGAGGCUGCAGUGAGGGGGCCUUGCUUAUGGAAACGUGAAUCACGUUUUUCCAUGAUGUGUCAUGUUUGCUUAGAAACUGACCUCCCCUCUCCCCCAACCCUAUUGCCAGGGAUCAGGGGCUCCUGACAUGUUUGCUUGAAAUCUCUCUGUUCCCUGUCAAUUAGCCAGUUUAACUUUCUACUGUGGUGCCGAUGAAAGUCACUAUUCAGCGCUAGACCCAGAUCCUGCAGGGCGGGAUUUCGUUGCCGUGGAGAUGGAAUCUGGGCUCCGCGCUGCCCACUUGUUCAGCUGGGUGUUCCUGGGCUGACUCACAGCCCAGCACACAGCAGGAGGCACUCUUCCUGCACCCCCGCAGCCUUUCCCUCCCCAGAUUUCUCCAGACUACGGCUUCUGCUGACCAGCUGUUUAGCCUCGGUACUUGAUACAUGCUGCUAAAACCUGCAGCCACGGGAGCCAACAGCUGAGCCCACAGGAGCCAACCUCUGGCCCACUCGGAUCUCAGCCACACCCCAGAGCCGCAGAGAGAAGUGACUCAGGUUGGACACUGUGGCUCCAAGUGACCUCAAGUGACUCACCGCAUACAGAAUGAAGCUGACACCCUGAGUUUCACCUAUCAACUUAAUUUGUCAUGUACCUGGCAGCGGCUAUACCAGCCACUUCCCAGCACCAGCUAUAUUUAUAUGUGGGCAGACCUGCUAACAUCCCAAGCUUGCCUGCCCUGACACGAAGAGCCUCAACUCCAGCUGCACAUCUGCACACAUGGGGACCAUUGGCAACCCCUGGGGACCCAGGCCUCCUGCCAUGAUCUCAAUGGAAUUGGUCUAGAGUGGGCCUGGGCCCGUGUUUCCAGAGCUGCCCAGAGGAUUCGAAUGUGCAGCCAGGGGUGAAACCCACGGCUCUACCAUCUGAUUCUGUUAGGGAGAAGGAUGCUAAAGAGACACACUAUUUCCAUCCCAAUUCAGUCAGGAACACACCUGCAGCCUGGCUCAGGCCUUCAGUUGGUGGGCUUCUGGUGUGAACUCAGUUAUCCUCAUUUCUAACCUCAAAUUGUCCAUAAUUAUGUCUGUAUCCAACUCUUUCUCCUUGAGCUUUAGUAACUUUUAAGUUUCUGCUUCAUUCUCUGGACUGUGAGUUGAGAGUCUCAGUUCAUAGACCACCUCUGAAGGCAAAUUAUUACAUUAUAAAAAAUCUAGUGAUGGGAAAGUAGGUUGAGAAUGAAAUGCGAAAGGUCACCUGACGGCCCUGACAGUCGUGGAUCCUGUCCGUAAACUCUGUUUUGUUUUGCUUAUGUGUUUGUUUCUCUUAGGUCAACACUUUGUUACAUAUCUUUUGUUUGUUUCGUUUAGCUUUCUUAAUUUUGAGACUUUUGAACAUAGACAAAAGUAGAGAGAAGAGUUUCAUGGACAUACCUAUCCACUCCCCAACCCCAACAGUGGCCAACCUGGCCCCAUCCCUCACACCCACCAAUUUAGCCCAUCUUCUAUUAUUUCGAAGUAAAUCCCAGAUAUUUUACUAUUUCAUCUGUAAAAGCUUUUGAAAAUCACUCAGAAAGAACUCUUUUUAUAUCCUAACCACAAUUCCAUUAUGCAUCAAAACAAAUCAACAAUAACUCCUGGUGUCCAAAUUUCCAGAUUGUCUCAGGAUUGUCAUACAUGGAUUUUUAAAAAAGCAGAAUCAAAUGAGGUUCACAUGUUGAAACUGGCUGAUAUACCUUUUAAGUCUGUUUUAAUCUCUAGCUUACUCCUCUAUCCUUUUUUUUUUUCUUUUUUUUACAAUUUGCUUGUUGAAGACACUGGGUUGUUCAUCCUGUAGAUUUAUCCACAAUCUAGAUUUUGCUGAUGACCUCCCUGUGGUGUGAUUUAAUAUGCUCUCUGUCUCUAUUUUUCCUGUAAAUUGGUCCUUGGAUCCAGAGCUUAAUCAGAUUCAAGGGCGGUUUUAGUGGUUGGUGCAUUCUUCCAACAGGAGGCACGUGAUGUCUGGCUGUCUCUUUCCGUGAUAUUAGAUGCUGCAGAUGGUCAAUGCCUGAAUCCUCUGGUCCAUUAAACCUUUCAAUAUAGUGACAUCUGCUUCUUCACUCCUCUUUCAUAGAGGAGUUCCAGUUUGCAAAUGCAGGAGGAAGGACAGAAUCCCAUAUCACUAUUUAUCUACUGGUUGACUCCCAGGAUAACUGCUUGAUUUCCUCCUUUUAUUUACCAUUUUCAAAAUAAAGAAUUGCUUUCCUAGCA